rnacentral:rRNA from 1 species
CCUUCUCUCGUCUGAUCUCGGAAGUCAAGCAAUCUCGGGCUUGGUUAGUACUUGGAUGGGUGACCGCUUGGGAAUACCAAGUGUGAUAAGCA